rnacentral:rRNA from 1 species
AUUGAACGCUGGCGGCAGGCCUAACACAUGCAAGUCGAACGAGUGGCGGACGGGUGCGUAAUGUCUGGGAAACUGCCUGAUGGAGGGGGAUAACUACUGGAAACGGUAGCUAAUACCGCAUACCAUCAGAUGUGCCCAAAUGGGAUUAGCUUGUUGGUGGGGUAACGGCUCACCAAGGCGACGAUCCCUAGCUGGUUUGAGAGGAUGACCGGCCACACGGGAACUGAGACACGCUCCAGCCUCCUACGGGAGGCAGCAGUGGGGAAUAUUGGACAAGGGGGGCAAGCCUGAUGCAGCCAUGCCGCGUGGAUGAUGAAGGCCUUCGGGUUGUAAAGUACUUUCAGCAGGGAGGCGUUACCCGCAGAAGAAGCACCGGCUAACUCCGUGCCAGCAGCCGCGGUAAUAC